GGUCGCUACAUGAGCACAAAGAGGACUAUUCUUUUGCCUUUUACUAAAGAAUACCGUGUGCUCGCCGCAAUUAGUGGCAUACGCCUAUUUUUGGGGGGCAUAUGUCCUAAUUUAUCC